rnacentral:tRNA from 1 species
GGGGAUGUAGCUCAGUGGUAGAGCGCAUGCUUAGCAUGCAUGAAGUCCUGGGUUCGAUCCCCAGCAUCUCCA